UACGUAGGGGGCAAGCGUUGUUCGGAAUUACUGGGCGUAAAGGGCGCGUCGGCGGCCCAGCAAGUCGGGAGUGAAAGCCCGGGGCUCAACCCCGGAACUGCUUUCGAAACUGCUGAGCUAGAGUGCGGAAGGGGCAACCGGAAUUCCCAGUGUAGCGGUGAAAUGCGUAGAUAUUGGGAAGAACACCUGAGGCGAAGGCGGGUUGCUGGGCCGACACUGACGCUGAGGCGCGAAAGCCAGGGGAGCAAACGGG
rnacentral:rRNA from 1 species